AAUUUUUGACAAUGGGCGCAAGCCUGAUCCAGCAAUGCCGCGUGAGUGAAGAAGGCCUUCGGGUUGUAAAGCUCUUUUGUCAGGGAAGAAACGGACUGGGUUAAUACCUUGGUCUAAUGACGGUACCUGAAGAAUAAGCACCGGCUAACUACGUGCCAGCAGCCGCGGUAAUACGUAGGGUGCAAGCGUUAAUCGGAAUUACUGGGCGUAAAGCGUGCGCAGGCGGUUAUGUAAGUCAGAUGUGAAAUCCCCGGGCUCAACCUGGGAAUGGCAUUUGAGACUGCAUGGCUAGAGUGUGUCAGAGGGGGGUAGAAUUCCACGUGUAGCAGUGAAAUGCGUAGAGAUGUGGAGGAAUACCGAUGGCGAAGGCAGCCCCCUGGGAUAACACUGACGCUCAUGCACGAAAGCGUGGGGAGC
rnacentral:rRNA from 1 species